AUCAGUUCGCGAUUCAGUUUGAAUCAUUCUGCCAGCUCAGUCGGGCGUUUAAUCUUUUUGAGUGGUUUCUCUAUAAUUAAAACGUUAACGAGCGACCUUAAAAGACAAAAGACACGAAAUGCGAUAGACAAAGUGGAAAUUCACCUAGAAUCCAUCGAAACCAAACAUGCAAAAGUGUCAUGCGAUGAAAAAGGCGUUUAUGAAGUUCAACACCUGCACCUGCAGCUUGUGAACGACCUCAGAUGGUCAGGGGUUUUGUUCAGCCACUCAUUUCUAAAGCUGGGAUCCUUCAGACAGAUAUGCAGAGAGUUAGGUGCGGCACACAUCCAGGAACUGCUCAAGUGGCAAAGAUGCCAUGCCAUCCAUCAGGCACUGACAGGCAGGUGGCCAAGCCUUUGGUAAGGAAUGCCAGUGAUCUGUAAACCACCAAAUGAGAGACGCACGUGGGCCCUGGGGGCGAAGAGGGGCCUCCCCGCAUGACUCACUCUUAUGCAGAUGGAGAAGCGUAUCAUUACAUUCUCUGUGGCGAAUGACUGAUUUGACACAUUACAGAGGUGUUAGCCUGGUUAUAUGAAUAAACCUAAAGUCUUGCUUGUGGAAUUACUUGAGUAAAAUCCUAGAAGUUAGCUUGACAGUUUUUAUUUUUGUCUGUGUUUGAGUUGUGUGCUCUCUUUAUUAGAUCCUGUUUUCUCCCACGCUGGAUCUCAUUCAGAGUCCAGAUAGUUGUAUGUCAAACCUGUGCCUAAACAUUACUCAAACCAUACAUACACAUGCCAUAUGCAGGAGUUGGAUAAAAUAAUGUGAACACCUGUUAUUUCAAGGGUUAAUAUAAAUUGUGCAGGACAAAUCAUGGAAGCCCGUUUAGCCGGAGCAUUUG
rnacentral:lncRNA from 1 species